AUGCAAGUCGAACGAGAUCUUCGGAUCUAGUGGCGCACGGGUGCGUAACGCGUGGGAAUCUGCCCUUGGGUUCGGAAUAACUUCGGGAAACUGAAGCUAAUACCGGAUGAUGACGUAAGUCCAAAGAUUUAUCGCCCAAGGAUGAGCCCGCGUAGGAUUAGCUAGUUGGUGAGGUAAAGGCUCACCAAGGCGACGAUCCUUAGCUGGUCUGAGAGGAUGAUCAGCCACACUGGGACUGAGACACGGCCCAGACUCCUACGGGAGGCAGCAGUGGGGAAUAUUGGACAAUGGGCGAAAGCCUGAUCCAGCAAUGCCGCGUGAGUGAUGAAGGCCUUAGGGUUGUAAAGCUCUUUUACCCGGGAUGAUAAUGACAGUACCGGGAGAAUAAGCUCCGGCUAACUCCGUG
rnacentral:rRNA from 1 species